AAGUCGUAACAAGGUUUCCGUAGGUGAACCUGCGGAAGGAUCAUUAAUAAAGUUAACUCAUCGUUAUGGGUUUCUUUAACUCAUAUCAACCUUGUGUGCACCUAAAAUUGAACCUGGCAGUUCUUAGCCGUUUUGUUAGACCUUGGGCUUAAGGCCUUAAGCGCUUCUAGAGUUUGGUUAGCGAGUAUUAGCCCUCGGGUUAAGAAAGUUAGACUCUGCUCUUGGCUUAAGAUCUGGCUUAAGAUCUCUUAGCGGUUUCCUGCCAACAGUUAAACCUUAGAUAUUUAUUUAGUCAAUUACUUAAGUCUUGUAAUAAAGCUUAAUUAAUAACAACUUGUGGCAACGGAUCUCUUGGCUCUC
rnacentral:misc_RNA from 1 species